AUUGAACGCUGGCGGCAUGCUUUACACAUGCAAGUCGAACGGUAACAGGCCGCAAGGUGCUGACGAGUGGCGAACGGGUGAGUAAUGCAUCGGAACGUGCCCAGUCGUGGGGGAUAACGCAGCGAAAGCUGCGCUAAUACCGCAUACGAUCUCUGGAUGAAAGCGGGGGACCGAAAGGCCUCGCGCGAUUGGAGCGGCCGAUGUCAGAUUAGGUAGUUGGUGGGGUAAAGGCCCACCAAGCCAACGAUCUGUAGCUGGUCUGAGAGGACGACCAGCCACACUGGGGCGGAGACACGGGCCAGACUCCUACGGGAGGCAGCAGUGGGGAAUUGUGGACAAUGGGCGCAAGCCUGAUCCAGCAAUGCCGCGUGCAGGAAGAAGGCCUUCGGGUUGUAAACUGCUUUUGUACGGAACGAAACGGUCCGGGUUAAUACCCUGGGCUAAUGACGGUACCGUAAGAAUAAGCACCGGCUAACUACGUGCCAGCCGCCGCGGUAA
rnacentral:rRNA from 1 species